rnacentral:tRNA from 3 species
AAAUCCGUCGACUUUAAAAUCGUGAGGGUUCAAGUCCCUCUAUCCCCA